GAGCGUUUCACCUGGUAGCUUGAAGGUAGUUUGCUCCAAUGCAACUGUGUUGGGAGCGUUUCACCUGGUAGCCUGGAAGGUAGUUUGCUCCAACGCAACUGUGUUGUGAGCGUUUCACCUGGUAGCCUGGAAGGUAGUUUGCUCCAACGCAACUGUGUUGGGAGCGUUUCACCUGGUAGCUUGGAAGGUAGUUUGCUCCAACGCAACUGUGUUGGGAGCGUUUCACCUGGUAGCUUGGAAUUUAGUUUGCUCCAACGCAACUGUGUUGGGAGCGUUUCACCUGGUAGCCUGGAAGGUAGUUGGCUCCAAUGCAACUGUGUUGGGAGCGUUUCACCUGGUAGCUUGGAAGGCAGUUUGCUCCAACGCAAAUGUGUUGUGAGCGUUUCACCUGGUAGUUUGGAAGGCAGUUUGCUCCAACGCAAAUGUGUUGUGAGCGUUUCACCUGGUAGUUUGGAAGGUAGUUUGCUCCAAUGCAACGCGGUUGAUUGUUGGUUUUUUGUGCGCUUUUGACUGAACAAUCCGGACAACGUGGCCACCAACGGGGGAGCGAGGACCCCCGCAUUGUUUGUCAAAUUCAGGACUGGCGCUGGAAGCUGUAGGUGGAGGGAAGCCCAGGAGUGGUGCAGCUCUGCAGAUGCUGAAGGUGUGCCAAAGGGUCACGUGUGUUCCUGAAGGGACUGUGGCGACGCAGUCGGAGGUCCCUGCGGUGGCGGUCAGCGGGAGGUGUCAAGACCAACCAGCUCCUCGUCCAGGAAAGGUCACGAUAGAAGAGCAGAUGGCUGUGCAGUUGCCAUGGUGCAGAGACCCAGAGUAUGAUGACCGAACAGUUGAUCUACAACGAUGGCCUACUCCCCAUCCACCCUGAGGAUCCCUGGCUACACCUACAAUCCAAUCUACCCCAGACAUAACCACUCGGAGCUCAACAACUCCUACAACUCCUCCUGCCUCCUACACACCAUACUGUUACCACUUUACCAUUUUAACUUUAAAAAAAAGUACUGUAAUUCACACCAUGUUGUAGGAAAAGCAUGUUUAGCUCAAUGAUUUAUACAUUCUAUUUCUGUGACCCCAACUAUUGUAUUUCUAACCCAGUUACCUCGUAACCCUCUUUCUAAGGGAGCGACUAAAGGGACAAAGCUGGAGCAAACCUGAGCUUAACAAUCUUUCUAAUCUUUCUUUCAAAUGUCCUAAAUUGAAACAUAUAAAAUGCCUAAAGUAACUUGUCUAACAAAACAAAAAGCCAACCUAAUACCGAAACUUAACCAUCUAACUAAAGUGCCUAAACUCUCUUACCUUAACCGAGUACCUAAACCGAACCAUUUAACUAAACAUCUCAAAGGCCUAAACUCGCUUACCUCAACCUAACCUAAUACCCAAACUUAACCAUCUAACUGAAGAGCUCAAACACCUAAACUCUUACCUUAACCUAGUACCUAAACUGAACCAUGUAACUAAACAUCUCAAAGGCCUAAACUCGCUUACCUCAACCUAACCUAAUACCCAAACUUGACCAUCUAACUUAAAAGCCCAAAUGCUUAAACUCUUACCCUAACCUGGUACCUAAACUUGACAAUCUAACUAAGCAUCUCUAAUAACUAAACUCUUUCCUAAUACCUAAACAAUCUUUAAUACAAUCACUAAUGCCUAAACUUAAACAAACACCAAUAAUAAAAGUUAACCAUCCUUAAUCUUGAACCCAAACCAGACUUGUCCCUGGGUCGCUCCACUUUGUUUCUUUAAAGGCAUCUCUUUUCCCCUGCAUCUGUGUUUUGUUCCUUGAGGACUUCAGGUGGGGUGCCAUAGAGUGUUGCAUGGGUUCUUGGGUCAAUUGUGGCACCCAUUGCACUCCUGACCAUCCCUGGAAGAAGGGAUCCCCUCCACUGCGUUUCUUCUCAAGAUUUCUUCCUUGCUGAUUCAAGGGAGUUUUUUCUUGCCCGUGUGGGGGCAUGGGUAAAGGGGGGUGUCACAAAUAUUUGGCCUGUUAAGCCCUUUGAGACUGUUAUGGUGAUUAAGGGCUAUACAAAUAAAAUUGAAUUGAAUAAAGAUACUUCAUCUUUACAGAUUUUGUUUUGGGGAAUUGGGACAGCUGAGCAGCUUAAGCAUCCUUACUGGUGAAUCUGAUCUGACGAUAUCAAUCAUAGGACUAGGAAGCUGCAGAGUUCUUCCAAGAAAGGGUUCCAAUCCAGGAUAGCUUUUAACACACUUUAUUUGUUAAAGUAUUUCGGUAUGGUAACUACGGAGCAAAAGCAGGUGGAAGCGUGUUGAACACGUGCUGAGCGUCUCCCUGAUGAUCAAAAACAUUAACCCUUUGUUUGGUAGCAGCUAGAAGAUUCUGAAGUCCAACUUCUCUGUCGAGAUUGAACUGAAAUGCAAUGCACAACAUGCAAUUUGUCCUUAUCUCAAUUUUUAAAACUUUUUAUAUUUUUUAUUACUAUUUAUUGUGCUGCUCUCUCUCUCGCUCUCUCUCGCUCUCUCGCUCUCUCGAUCUCUCUCUGUAUUAAUACUGUACUUGACUUGGGAAGCCCUGCACAAGAAUUCCAAUGUGUUUGAACUGUCUGGUUUAUGCACAAAUGGCGAAUAAAAACCUUUGAAC
ensembl:lncRNA